UACGUAGGGUGCGAGCGUUAAUCGGAAUUACUGGGCGUAAAGCGUGCGCAGGCGGUUUUGUAAGCCAGAUGUGAAAGCCCCGGGCUUAACCUGGGAAUGGCAUUUGGGACUGCAAGGCUGGAGUGCGGCAGAGGAGACUGGAAUUCCUGGUGUAGCAGUGAAAUGCGUAGAUAUCAGGAGGAAUACCGAUGGCGAAGGCAGGUCUCUGGGCUGACACUGACGCUCAUGC
rnacentral:rRNA from 1 species